rnacentral:lncRNA from 1 species
GUAAAUGUAAGAAAGGAUUCAUUUCGCAACACCUACGGCUUCCACUAGAUGUCAACGAUCUUUAUAAAGUUGUUUGAAGCGUCUAUGAUAAACAGAGAGCAAAUUAGAAUCCAAGGAAGUUGACAUGUCAUCACUUCAUUUUUUUGCGCCUGCGCAUAAAUCUGAGAAACGUGAGUUUUGUCUUCAUUGUUUAUCUCGACAUAGGAUAGGUUGUGUGAAAAUAUUACUGAUGUUUAACGUUAAAAAUGGACCAAAAGAUUAAUGCUAAACAACAUUUGACAUGUUUGAACGAACAUAAAUAGAUUAUUUACUAGGUUUUUUUAGCUUUUCGGGCGUGAUUUUACAGUCCCCCACCAUGUUUUGUGGGAGCAUAAUGAACGCUAAGUACUUGGUGUUAUUUGGACAUAAAUUAUGAACUUUGUCAAAAGAAACCACAUUUGUUCCGGACCUGGGAUGCCUUCCGGACCUGGGAUGCCUGUCUUCUGAUGGAGAUAAUCAAAGAAUACUGCCUCACAAAAUGGAAGCAGCAGCCAACCGAGACAUCUUCCAGAUGGUCCAAUAACAGGAAGAUCUACUUCGCCAAGACCACGACCAGCUGGGGCAACUGGAGACGGCUAUGGAUGAGGUCCUCCGUGUUCUUCAACAUCUAGAUCUUCAUCAAGAGGACUCACCUCCAACGAGUCGGAGGAUCCUAUACCAUGAGUCGACCCAGAAAGCCAGCACUUCAGCCCAUUCAACAAUUCGCCCAGAUCGGAUGUCCUAGCUGUGUCUGAAUCUUGGCUUAGGAAGUCCACCAAAAACUCUGAAAUCUUCAUCC